CCUACGGGAGGCUGCAGUGGGGAAUAUUGCACAAUGGGGGAAACCCUGAUGCAGCGACGCCGCGUGAGUGAACAAGUAAUUCGUUAUGUAAAGCUCUAUCAGCAGGGAAGAAAAUGACGGUACCUGAGUAAGAAGCCCCGGCGAACUACGUGCCAGCAGCCGCGGUAAUACGUAGGGGGCAAGCGUUAUCCGGAUUUACUGGGGGGAAAGGGAGCGUAGACGGCAGUGCAAGUCUGGAGUGAAAGGCGGGGGCUCAACCCCCGGACUGCUCUGGAAACUGUACGGCUGGAGUGCAGGAGAGGUAAGUGGAAUUCCUAGUGUAGCGGUGAAAUGCGUAGAUAUUAGGAGGAACACCAGUGGCGAAGGCGGCUUACUGGACUGUAACUGACGUUGAGGCUCGAAAGCGUGGGGAGCAAACAGGAUUAGAUACCCCUGUAGUC
rnacentral:rRNA from 1 species